UACGGGGGGAGCAAGCGUUGUUCGGAUUUACUGGGCGUAAAGGGCGCGUAGGCGGCGCAACAAGUCACUUGUGAAAUCUCCGGGCUUAACCCGGAGCGGUCAAGUGAUACUGUCGUGCUAGAGUGCGGAAGGGGCUACUGGAAUUCUCGGUGUAGCGGUGAAAUGCGUAGAUAUCGAGAGGAACACCUGGCGGCGAAGGCGGGUAGCUGGGCCGACACUGACGCUGGAUGCGCGAAAGCGUGGGGAGCAAACAGGAUUAG
rnacentral:rRNA from 1 species